CCGAGCUAGCAGUGGCAAUCUGCUCCGUCGUGUUCCAGUCUGUGGAAGCUUUGUUUUUUCGCUCUUUGCAAUAAAUCUUGCUACUGCUCACUUUUUGGGUCCACACUGCCUUUAUGAGCUGUUAACACUCACCUCGAAGGUCUGCAUCUUGGCUCCUGAGCCCGGGGGACCACGAACCCACUAGAAGGAAGAAACUCUGAACAUCAGAACGAACAAACUCUGGACACGCCACCUUUAAGAACUGUAACACUGAUAGUGAGGGUCUGCGGCCUCAUUCUUGAAGUCAGUGAGACCAAGAACCCACCAAUUCCGGACACAAGUGCAGAGUUGAUGUGAGAAGAAGCUAACAUGGUAUGAAAUGCACCCAUCUCAGUUUUUGACAUAUGGCACCAGGAUUACAAAGCUUAACAAGUCAUGAUUUAGAUUCAGAAGUUACAAAGAGUGGAAAAUGUCGUAUUCUUUCUUAUGAGGAGACAAGAACUGAGGUUGCUGCAGAUCCAUAUGGAUAUGCCUCUGGUUACAUAUUUUGGUGCCAUGUGAGCAUGUCCUACUCUGGUGGAUUUUUUUUUUUUUUUUCAUCUCUGAGGUUGACCUGAGAUUGACCAUCUAACCUGCGCUAUAAUUUUGACAUAAAUUUUAACUAAAAG
rnacentral:lncRNA from 1 species